AGAGUUUGAUCAUGGCUCAGGACGAACGCUGGCGGCGCGCUUAACACAUGCAAGUCGUGCGGUGUCGAAGGCAAGUCUUACGACAAGCCUUCGACACAGCGGCGAACGGGUGAGUAACACGUGAGUAGCUGUCCUAAGGAGGGGGAUAACGCCUGGAAACGGGUGCUAAUACCCCAUAUGCCUCGCAAGAGGUGAAAGUGUACUUGCUACAGCCUUAGGGUGUGCUCGCGGCCUAUCAGCUAGUUGGUGAGGUAACGGCUCACCAAGGCUAAGACGGGUAGCCGGCCUGAGAGGGUGUACGGCCACACUGGAAUUGAGAUACGGUCCAGACUCCUACGGGAGGCAGCAGUGGGGAAUCUUGGGCAAUGGGCGAAAGCCUGACCCAGCGACGCCGCGUUGGGGAUGAAGCCCUUCGGGGCGUAAACCCAUGUUGUAGGGGACGAAGAAAGUGACGGUACCCUACGAGAAAGCCCCGGCCAACUACGUGCCAGCAGCCGCGGUAAAACGUAGGGGGCGAGCGUUGUCCGGAAUUACUGGGCGUAAAGGGCACGCAGGCGGUACGCCAAGUCGGGGGUGUAAAGUUACGGCUCAACCGUGACCUUGCAAUCGAUACUGGCGUACUGGAGUGCGGGAGAGGGAAGUGGAAUUCCCGGUGUAGCGGUGAAAUGCGUAGAUAUCGGGAGGAACGCCAGUGGCGAAGGCGGCUUCCUGGCCCGCGACUGACGCUCAUGUGCGAAAGCCAGGGGAGCGAACCGGAUUAGAUACCCGGGUAGUCCUGGCCGUAAACGAUGGGUGCUAGGUGUAGGCGCGUCAAGCGUCUGUGCCGCAGUUAACGCGAUAAGCACCUCGCCUGGGGAGUACGGUCGCAAGGCUGAAACUCAAAUGAAUUGACGG
rnacentral:rRNA from 1 species